UACGGAGGAGGCAAGCGUUAUCCGGAAUUAUUGGGCGUAAAGCGUCCGUAGGUGGCUCUUCAAGUCUGCUGUCAAAGAGUGGGGCUUAACCCUGCAAAGGCAGUGGAAACUGAAAGGCUAGAGAGCCGCAGGGGUAGAGGGAAUUCCCGGUGUAGCGGUGAAAUGCGUAGAGAUCGGGAAGAACAUCGGUGGCGAAAGCGCUCUACUGGACGGUAUCUGACACUGAGGGACGAAAGCUAGGGGAGCGAAUGGG
rnacentral:rRNA from 1 species